rnacentral:rRNA from 1 species
GAUGAACGCUGGCGGCGUGCCUAAUACAUGCAAGUCGAGCGCUAGAGUGAGGAGCUUGCUCCUCAUGAUCGAGCGGCGGACGGGUGAGUAACACGUAGGCAACCUACCCUUGAGAUUGGGAUAACUACCGGAAACGGUAGCUAAUACCGGAUACGACUUUUCCACAUAAGUGGAAUGGUUAAAAGGCGGAUUUAUCUGCCGCUCAUGGAUGGGCCUGCGGUGCAUUAGCUAGUUGGUGAGGUAGUGGCUCACCAAGGCGACGAUGCAUAGCCGACCUGAGAGGGUGAUCGGCCACACUGGGACUGAGACACGGCCCAGACUCCUACGGGAGGCAGCAGUAGGGAAUCUUCCGCAAUGGACGAAAGUCUGACGGAGCAACGCCGCGUGAGUGAUGAAGGGUUUCGGCUCGUAAAACUCUGUUGUUAAGGAAGAACACUUGAGGUAGUAACUGGCCUUGAGAUGACGGUACUUAACCAGAAAGCCACGGCUAACUACGUGCCAGCCGCCGCUGUAA